GAGGGUGUAGCUCAGUGGUAGAGCACGUGCUUAGCAUGCCCAAGGUCUGGGUGCAGUCCCCAGUACCUCCA
rnacentral:tRNA from 1 species